rnacentral:rRNA from 1 species
CCUACGGGGGACAGCAGUGGGGGAUAUUGCACAAUGGGGGAAACCCUGAUGCAGCGACGCCGCGUGUAGGAAGACGGUCCUCUGGAUUGUAAACUACUGUCCCCAGGGACGAAGAUGACGGUACCUGGGGAGGAAGCUCCGGCUAACUACGUGCCAGCAGCCGCGUUACUACGUAGGGAGCGAGCGUUGUCCGGAAUUACUGGGUGAAAAGGGAGCGUAGGCGGGGAUGCAAGUUGGGUGUUAAAUCUACCGGCUCAACUGGUAGUCGCACUCAAAACUGCAGCUCUUGAGUGAAGUAGAGGCAGGCGGAAUUCCUAGUGUAGCGGUGAAAUGCGUAGAUAUUAGGAGGAACACCAGUGGCGAAGGCGGCCUGCUGGGCUUUUACUGACGCUGAGGCUCGAAAGUGUGGGGAGCAAACAGGAUUAGAUACCCGGGUAGUC